UCCAGUCCACAAAAGACCGGAGUUUCUUUGUGAAAAUUCAUUUGGUUUGCAUAUUUAUUUCGCAUUCCAGUCCAGUCACAUUCCAGUCCAGUUGCAAACCAGAGUUUCUUUAUUCACUGAAGAACUCCGUUUGUGCACGUUUAAAACACACCAGCAGCUAAAGUGUCAAAGCUCUAGAAUUUAAGAUCAAGGCCCCAUUUCAUUUUGAUAUGGAGAUAUCUAUACCUGAGAAGCCAUGUUCGGAAACCAAGUGUUUUCUCUUCCAUCGCCUAUAGAUGAGGUCUGAGAUUUUAAUCUUUGACAUUACAAAAGCAAUACAGUAGAUGGUUAUGCAGAAGGUGAGGCAGCGCUGGGACUCUAUGCAGAGCCUAGGCCACUGGUUUCCAUUUAAAACCUAAAAACCCAGAAAGCAAAAGUAGUUGCAGACCCAGAAAAUAGCUUGGUCGGAAUUGUCCCUCCAACUGUCCACUUCAUGUGCCAGCUACUGAAGCACUCUCUCUCAAAUCUGAACUCUCAAUACUGCAGAAGAGGGAAGAAGGGUAAGAGGAAACGAGAGGAGACGGAGAUAUUGAGGAGGUUUUGAUCUGGGUUCUGCCGACGGGAGGAACAAAGAUGCAGAGGAGAGAAAGGAAAAGAAGAUGAAGAGGGAGAGCCUUCAGCAAUUAGAUACGCUCUGAUCGAAAUUCCAAGGGAUGAGAAGAGAUGAGUUUUGCAGCAGAAUCUCAGCCAAAACAGGGAAUGCCCUGAGAAAUGCAACUAUUUCAAGAGAGAUAUGCGAACUCUCUGGCUUAUUGUGUGGAUCAAAAGUUUUUCAUGUGCUCUACUGCAUCACAACCUCAGCUUUGGGAGGCACAAGAUUCAGAAAGGUUUAGGUAUGCAAGGGAUACAUCAUUCGGAAAGAGUCAUUUGAACUUCUGGAGCCAGUCAUCAGUUUUCCUUUGCAUUGUGUGCUUCUUCAGAUAGUUUUUCAGGCAGUUACUAUGAGUACCUGACUCUGAGGCAUGGUUUUAUC